rnacentral:tRNA from 1 species
GGAGGGCUAGUCUAAUUGGUAAGGCAGCGGAUUUGAAAUCCGCCGCGGGCGACCGCUUGGGGGUUCGAGUCCCCCGCCCUCCG